rnacentral:rRNA from 1 species
GAUGAACGCUAGCGGCAGGCUUAACACAUGCAAGUCGAGGGGUAACAGGGUAGCAAUACCGCUGACGACCGGCGCACGGGUGAGUAACGCGUAUGCAACCUGCCUAUAACUGGGGAAUAGCUCCCUGAAAGGGGAAUUAACACCGCAUAACACUAUUGAUUCGCAUGGAUUAGUAGUUAAAUGUAGCGAUACAGGUUAUAGAUGGGCAUGCGUGACAUUAGCUAGUUGGUGAGGUAACGGCUCACCAAGGCUACGAUGUCUAGGGGUUCUGAGAGGAAGGUCCCCCACACUGGUACUGAGACACGGACCAGACUCCUACGGGAGGCAGCAGUGAGGAAUAUUGGUCAAUGGGCGCAAGCCUGAACCAGCCAUGUCGCGUGCAGGAAGACUGCCCUAUGGGUUGUAAACUGCUUUUAAGUAGAAGAAACACAUCUACGUGUAGAUGUCUGCCAGUAUACUAUGAAUAAGCAUCGGA